CGGGGAAUAUUGCACAAUGGGGGAAACCCUGAUGCAGCAACGCCGCGUGCGGGAUGACGGCCUUCGGGUUGUAAACCGCUUUCAGCCAUGACGAAGCUUUUGUGACGGUAGUGGCAGAAGAAGCACCGGCUAACUACGUGCCAGCAGCCGCGGUGAUACGUAGGGUGCGAGCGUUGUCCGGAAUUAUUGGGCGUAAAGAGCUUGUAGGCGGUUUGUCGCGUCGAAAGUGUAAACUCAGUGCUUAACGCUGAGCCUGCUUUCGAUACGGGCUGACUAGAGGAAGUUAGGGGAGAAUGGAAUUCCCGGUGGAGCGGUGGAAUGCGCAGAUAUCGGGAGGAACACCAGUGGCGAAGGCGGUUCUCUGGACCUUUCCUGACGCUGAGAAGCGAAAGCGUGGGUAGCAAACAGG
rnacentral:rRNA from 1 species